GACGAACGCUGGCGGCGUGCUUAACACAUGCAAGUCGAACGAAGUGGCGAACGGGUGAGUAACGCGUAAUCAACCUGCCCUUCAGGGGGGGACAACAGUUGGAAACGACUGCUAAUACCGCAUACUGAAGGAGUGGUUUGCGUCUGAUUAGCUAGUUGGAGGGGUAAAGGCCCACCAAGGCGAUGAUCAGUAGCCGGGUGGAGGGGAAGAACGGGCACAUUGGGACUGAGAAAAGGGCCAGACUCCUACGGGGGGAAGCAGUGGGGAAACAUCCGCAAUGGACGAAAGUCUGAAGGCGCAACGCCGGGUGAGUGAUGACGGCCUUCGGGUUGGAAAGCUAUGUUAAUCGGGAAGCGGUACCGGAAGAGAAAGCCACGGCUAACUACGUGCCAGCAGCCGCGGUAAUUC
rnacentral:rRNA from 1 species